UACGUAGGGUGCGAGCGUUGUCCGGAAUUAUUGGGCGUAAAGGGCUCGUAGGCGGUUUGUCGCGUCGGGAGUGAAAACCUACAGCUUAACUCCGAGCCUGCUUCCGAUACGGGCAGACUAGAGGUAGGCAGGGGAGAGCGGAACUCCUGGUGUAGCGGUGGAAUGCGCAGAUAUCAGGAGGAACACCGGUGGCGAAGGCGGGUCUCUGGACGACUCCUGACACUGAGGCACGAAAGCCAGGGGAGCAAACAGG
rnacentral:rRNA from 1 species